GUUGGAUUAAAAUUAACUUUUGGUGUAGAAGCUAAAAUAGUUGGGUCUGUUCGACC
rnacentral:tRNA from 1 species